rnacentral:rRNA from 1 species
GACGAACGCUGGCGGCGUGCUUAACACAUGCAAGUCGAACGGUAAGGCCCUUCGGGGUGCACGAGUGGCGAACGGGUGAGUAACACGUGGGUGAUCUGCCCUGCACUUCGGGAUAAGCCUGGGAAACUGGGUCUAAUACCGGAUAGGACUCCGGACUGCAUGGUCUGGGGUGGAAAGCUUUUGCGGUGUGGGAUGGGCCCGCGGCCUAUCAGCUUGUUGGUGGGGGGAUGGACUACCAAGGCGACGACGGGUAGCCGGCCUGAGAGGGGGACCGGCCACACUGGGACCGAGAUACGGCCCAGACUCCUACGGGAGGCAGCGGUGGGGAAUAUUGCACAAUGGGCGCAAGCCUGAUGCAGCGACGCCGCGUGAGGGAUGACGGCCUUCGGGUUGUAAACCUCUUUCAGCAUCGACGAAGCGAAAGUGACGGUAGGUGCAGAAGAAGGACCGGCCAACUACGUGCCAGCAGCCGCCGUAA